rnacentral:rRNA from 1 species
AUGAACGCUGGCGGCGUGCCUAAUACAUGCCAGUCGAGCGAACAGACGAGGAGCUUGCUCCUCUGACGUUAGCGGCGGACGGGUGAGUAACACGUGGAUAACCUACCUAUAAGACUGGGAUAACUUCGGGAAACCGGAGCUAAUACCGGAUAAUAUAUUGAACCGCAUGGUUCAAUAGUGAAAGACGGUUUUGCUGUCACUUAUAGAUGGAUCCGCGCCGCAUUAGCUAGUUGGUAAGGUAACGGCUUACCAAGGCGACGAUGCGUAGCCGACCUGAGAGGGUGAUCGGCCGCACUGGAACUGAGACACGGUCCAGACUCCUACGGGAGGCAGCAGUAGGGAAUCUUCCGCAAUGGGCGAAAGCAUGACGGAGCAACGCCGCGUGAGUGAUGAAGGUCUUCGGAUCGUAAAACUCUGUUAUUAGGGAAGAACAAAUGUGUAAGUAACUAUGCACGUCUUGACGGUACCGAAUCAGAAAGCCACGGCUAACUACGUG